GAUGAACGCUGGCGGCGUGCCUAAUACAUGCAAGUCGAACGCUUCACUUCGGUGAAGAGUGGCGAACGGGUGAGUAAUACAUAAGUAACCUGGCAUCUACAGGGGGAUAACUGAUGGAAACGUCAGCUAAGACCGCAUAGGUGUAGAGAUCGCAUGAACUCUAUAUGAAAAGUGCUACGGGACUGGUAGAUGAUGGACUUAUGGCGCAUUAGCUUGUUGGUAGGGUAACGGCCUACCAAGGCGACGAUGCGUAGCCGACCUGAGAGGGUGACCGGCCACACUGGGACUGAGACACGGCCCAGACUCCUACGGGAGGCAGCAGUAGGGAAUUUUCGGCAAUGGGGGAAACCCUGACCGAGCAACGCCGCGUGAAGGAAGAAGUAAUUCGUUAUGUAAACUUCUGUCAUAGAGGAAGAACGGUGGAUAUAGGGAAGGAUAUCCAAGUGACGGUACUCUAUAAGAAAACCACGGCUAACUACGU
rnacentral:rRNA from 1 species